CCAUGGCAGAGUCACCUUGCUCUCGACGGUGGAAUAGCUACCCGAGUGAUAGGCCGGGUUGUGUGGGUUAGACUAGGGACCACUGGAGCCUAUCAAGAGUCUGCUAUGCUCUAUAUAGGAGGCUGGUAAGCUUGCACACAAGAGAACAAACUGGUACCGUAUCUGCGCCCGUUAUAUCGAGUUUAUGCCAGAGGUGCUCCGGUCCAUGUACUCUGUGACGCCGCAACCGGCGCACUGUGAUGACGUAAUUUUGAACCGUACAUUACGUGUCGGGUUUUUGGCGCCAUGGACUACAGACACAGAGGUAUUUCGUUACAGCCGGACCGGGUGCAGCGAUGUGAGGCGCACGUCGCAGGAUUGUGAUGUCACCGGACGGGCUCCCUGCACGAGACACACGCUGAUGGAGGCACUGGGUGUUCUUCUAUAAAGAUGUUUUGAAGUGCCUAUCUUGAUAAAGGUCCACAUAUGGACCGAAACGUCAAUGAUUGACGGCAUCACUUUUGAACUUGAUUAAACCAAGUUGACUCAACAAGUGGACUCAGAGACUGAUUUUGGCGAGAGUGCACCUUCCACUUUGGUGGUAGUUGCGGUAUAUAUAUCCCCUUGAUGAAGUCCUGUUGCUGACGGACGAAACGCGUUGGGAAUACCUGCAGACAUCUCCUCUCUAUGGACAGAUAAGCCUAUAACAAUUUUAAAUCCUGUACGCAUGCAUUUCAGUCAUUUACAUGGACAGAUAAGCCUGAUAUAAUUUUUUUAUUCUGUACGCAUGUUA